GAAAACUCUACAAAGGAGAUAGUUGUGUUCUUUAGUUUCAUAUAUAAUGUAAAGAAGAAAUACAGUGCUUGAUUUUUCUGCUUUCCAGAAUUUAUGUGGUGGGAUUUUGAAACACUUAAUCAGGUACAAACAUUUUGGGAAACUAAUAGAGCAAUUGUCUCCAAAUGAUCAAAAGCUAUAGCUAGUAAAAGUGUACCAACCCAAACACAACCUUCCAGAAGAAAAUGCAUCUGUCCAGAUCCCUGUUACUGGAAGUUCAUGAAGAAACAUGUAUUGGGAGGAUUAUUGAUAUUUCAUUCUUUAAUAUUUCUUUCUUUAACAAAUUUAGUUUUAGAAGAAAUACAAUUCUAAAUAAAUAUUUUAGCAAGUUUAGUGGCUUGUAGGAAUAAAAGUGCUUGACUUUCUUUUACAUAUGGUAGAAUGUCACUAAAAU